UUGGGGUCUGGAUGGUGCCCGGCCUGACGGGGCCCUGAUCUUGGUCAGGGUCUGGGUGGUGCCUGGCCUGAUGGGGCCCUAAUCUUGGUCAGGGUCUGGGUGGUGCCUGGCCUGAUGGGGCUCUGAUCUCGGUUGGGGUCUGGGCAGCGCCCAGGCUCUACAUGACUUCUGGGUCUCUGGGCAGGGAAGGCACAUGUGAGCUGGAGAGAUAAGAUGGGGAUGUUGGUAUCAGGGCUGCCAGGGGCCAGAAACAGCUGAAGAGAGCCAGUGUAGAGGGGUGGGGUGUUUUUAAGCUGCGUUGCACUGAGCUGGUGCUAGUGUAGACUGUCCUGGUGCUGCGGGCACUCGAAAGGCUAGCAGGGUAAGGGCCUUGGUGUCUGUGGGUGCUAGGCUCAGCUCUGCCACUGACUCUGCAGAAAUGGGCCACAGCCUGGCACUGCGUGACUCAGUUUCCCCAGCUGCGGGAUGGGGAGGGUGGAGCACUUUGCGGCCCCUCUGAUGAAAGGAGUUACGAACUGGUGCCUGGGCUUUCUCUGCUCCAGCCCCACUCGCUCUGGGAGGUCGAACGCUACCAGUGGCCCGACUUGGUGGCAGAUUUUGCGGAGGGCCACCAGUCCCCAGCACAGAUCUAGGCAUGGGAAGGGGACGCUUCCCUCACUCCUAGAGGCUGCACUUGCCUCCGUCCCCAUCUCGGCACCGCACGAGCCUGGUGCAGUGAGUAAUCGGCCCUGGCGUGGCUGCCGCACAAGGCACCCGAAUGCUGUGCCCUGGGUCCCCAAGCCCCACCCUGAGCGGUGCAGGAUCAGCGCUGGGUGAACCAUGAGCAAGGUCCGUCCCAAGGAGCCAGCGGGUGGGCGCUCAGCUACAGGACCCUCAGAGCGAGCAGCUGGGGCCAGGAACCCGGUACUCCCCCGGGAAACGCAGCUGCCGUGAAGGUUGAGAGGGGCUGGAUCGGGCUCGUUGGGCACCGCAGAGACUCCAGGAGACAAAGGCAGAGCUGUCAGGUGUAUUACGGCAGCACUAGGGAGCCGCAGUCCUGGAGCCGGACCCUGCGGUGCCGGGUGCCUGUACGGCCCACAACAGACGGGCCCAGCCCCCUAAGUGAGGAACGAGACCCAGCGGCUGGACACUGCAGUGAGUAAAUUCAGGCAGGAGCUGCCCGAGGCCUCCCAUGCCAGGCGCCGCCCAGACCCCGGCC